GGAGUAUGGGCCGUGUCUCAGUCCCAUUGUGGCUGAUCAUCCUCUCAAACCAGCUACUGAUCGUCGCCUUGGUAGUCCAUUACACCACCAACUAGCUAAUCAGAUGCAGACUCAUCCUUGAGCACCGGAGUUUUCAAGAAUAGCAUUCCAGCUACGCUCAUAUGGGGUAUUAGCAGUCGUUUCCAACUGUUGUCCCCCUCUCAAGGGCAGAUUCUCUACAUAUUACUCACCCGUCCGCCACUUUCCUCUAGUGCAAGCACUAGAUUCUCGUUCGACUUGCAUGUAUGAAGCACGCCGCCAGCGUUCGUC
rnacentral:rRNA from 1 species